rnacentral:rRNA from 1 species
UACGUAGGGGGCUAGCGUUGUCCGGAAUCAUUGGGCGUAAAGCGCGUGUAGGCGGCCCGGUAAGUCCGCUGUGAAAGUCGGGGGCUCAACCCUCGGAUGCCGGUGGAUACUGUCGGGCUAGAGUGCGGAAGAGGCGAGUGGAAUUCCUGGUGUAGCGGUGAAAUGCGCAGAUAUCAGGAGGAACACCAAUUGCGAAGGCAGCUCGCUGGGACGUGACUGACGCUGAGACGCAAAAGCGUGGGGAGCAAACAGG